GACGAUCGAUUAUAGGAACGCGUUUCCAAUCAAGUUUAAGUCACGUCUGAGAACAUCAUGAUUUCCUGGUACAACAUAUUCUUGGUAGCAACCUGCGGCACUUUCGAAAAAAAGCCAAAAGCCAACGUCUUGUGUCUUGACGUUUGUCGAGCGGAGCCAAUAACGCGCUGUUCUUGGAUAAAAUAUACAUACAUAGCGGACAGUAAGAAACCGAGUGAAAGGCAACAAUGUGAAGCAGCAUGGCGAAAAGGUCAACAUAGGCGCAUCGAUCUUUGGGGAUCUUCCAGAGUGGAAGCCAGUCAAAGGUCAGGAUAAAGCAACCAGAGUAAAUGCGGCUAAACAGAAUCAGUUAUGUGAAUGAAGCCUUAAUAAAACAAGGCUACGGAUGCUUUUAUUUCUGCAUCCAUUAUAAAGAGAAAACGGUAUUCUUUUCAAUCCUCGCAACAGGGUACAUAAAAGAUGAAAUGGAAAGAAAGAAAGAACUUUGUAUGCAUGAUGCUGAAAACUGGAAGUUUCGCUUCUAUUAUCUAUAUUCAGUUAUCUGCUGAUGGUGUAAUAAAAAUUGAAGAAGUUUUUUUAUAUUGCAAGUUUAAGUGUUGGUUUUAACAAUGAAGAAUGUUUCA